rnacentral:lncRNA from 1 species
CCGAGCAGCAAUGUGCAAGUCCAUGGCAGGUGGGGACAGAAGUGGUGCAACCAGUCUGCUCAGAGCCAGCGAGGCCAGCAAAACGAAGUCCUAGUUGAGAACUCUAUUCCAGGCCUGCUGGACUUGAGACAGGGUCUCUGGUUUGGUGUUUAGGAGAGACAGCUGCUGGUGUUUACUCUUACAGUGUGGAAAUCUCUGGAACCAAACCAGUCAAGAAUUUUUUUUGUCAAUUCCACCAAAAGAUCAUUAACCAAAUUUUAUUCUUGCC